CACUCCUGCGGGAGGCAGCAGUGGGGAAUCUUGCGCAAUGGGCGAAAGCCUGACGCAGCCAUGCCGCGUGAAUGAUGAAGGUCUUAGGAUUGUAAAAUUCUUUCACCGGGGACGAUAAUGACGGUACCCGGAGAAGAAGCCCCGGCUAACUUCGUGCCAGCAGCCGCGGUAAUACGAAGGGGGCUAGCGUUGCUCGGAAUUACUGGGCGUAAAGGGAGCGUAGGCGGACAUUUAAGUCAGGGGUGAAAUCCCGGGGCUCAACCUCGGAAUUGCCUUUGAUACUGGGUGUCUUGAGUAUGAGAGAGGUGGGUAGAACUCCGAGUGUAGAGGUGAAAGUCGUAGAUAUUCGGAAGAACACCAGUGGCGAAGGCGACACACUGGCUCAUUACUGACGCUGAGGCUCGAAAGCGUGGGGAGCAAACAGGAUUAGAUACCCCUGUAGUCCCAUGAU
rnacentral:rRNA from 1 species